rnacentral:rRNA from 1 species
UGACCCCAAUUUGAGCAAGAGAACCCGUUGAAUUUAAGCAU